AGUGGGGAACUUUUUAUUGAUAAGAAAGAAACAGAGGUUUCGAUUGCAGAGAUGGUGUGUACAGAAAAAUCUUGGAAAGGAUCGAACUCCAAAUGUGUUGUGUUCAAACAUGACAAAACUGGAAAGAAAAUAGCUUGUAAAUGUAUUAAAAAACGCGUCUCUGUAAACGAGGUUAUAGCUUGUCUCGAUGUUCAGGAUACUAACACAUCUCCAAAAAUAUAUUGUAUUAAAGAAGAAGAAAACAUUGAGAUUUUUAUGGAACUUAUCG